UGGGGAAUUUUGCACAAUGGGGGAAACCCUGAUGCAGCGACGCCGCGUGAUUUAGAAGGCCUUCGGGUUGUAAAAAUCUUUUCUAUGGGAAGAAAAUGACAGUACCAUAUGAAUAAGGACCGGCUAAUUACGUGCCAGCAGCCGCGGUAAUACGUAAGGUCCGAGCGUUGUCCGGAAUCAUUGGGCGUAAAGGGUACGUAGGCGGGUAAGCAAGUUAGAAGUGAAAUCCUAUAGCUCAACUAUAGUAAGCUUUUAAAACUGCUCAUCUUGAGGUAUGGAAUGGAAAGUGGAAUUCCUAGUGUAGCGGUGAAAUGCGCAGAUAUUAUGAGGAAUACCGGUGGCGAAGGCGACUUUCUGGCCAUAACCUGACGCUGAGGUACGAAAGCGUGGGUAGCAAACAGG
rnacentral:rRNA from 1 species